UACGUAGCGUGCGAGCGUUAAUCGGAAUUACUGGGCGUAAAGCGUGCGCAGGCGGUUUUGUAAGCCAGACGUGAAAUCCCCGGGCUUAACCUGGGAAUGGCGUUUGGGACUGCAAGGCUUGAGUAUGGCAGAGGGGACUAGAAUUCCUGGUGUAGCAGUGAAAUGCGUAGAUAUCAGGAGGAAUACCGAUGGCGAAGGCAGGUCCCUGGGUUAAUACUGACGCUCAUGCACGAAAGCGUGGGGAGCAAACAGG
rnacentral:rRNA from 1 species